rnacentral:rRNA from 1 species
GAUGAACGCUAGCUACAGGCUUAACACAUGCAAGUCGAGGGGAAACGGCAUCGAAAGCUUGCUUUUGAUGGGCGUCGACCGGCGCACGGGUGAGUAACGCGUAUCCAACCUGCCCAUCACUUGGGAAUAACCUUGCGAAAGUAAGACUAAUGCCCAAUGACAUCCCACGAAGGCAUCCGAAUGGGAUUAAAGAUUUAUCGGUGAUGGAUGGGGAUGCGUCUGAUUAGCUUGUUGGCGGGGUGACGGCCCACCAAGGCAACGAUCAGUAGGGGUUCUGAGAGGAAGGUCCCCCACAUUGGAACUGAGACACGGUCCAAACUCCUACGGGAGGCAGCAGUGAGGAAUAUUGGUCAAUGGGCGAGAGCCUGAACCAGCCAAGUAGCGUGCAGGAUGACGGCCCUAUGGGUUGUAAACUGCUUUUAUGAGGGAAUAAAGUGGGUCACGUGUGACUUUUUGCAUGUACCUUAUGAAUAAGGACCGGCUAAUUCCGUG